GUUGCAGUUAAAAGCUCGUAGUUGACCUUGGGUCUGGCUGGCCGGUCCGCCUCACCGCGAGUACUGGUCCGGCUGGACCUUUCCUUCUGGGGAACCUCAUGGCCUUCACUGGCUGUGGGGGGAACCAGGACUUUUACUGUGAAAAAAUUAGAGUGUUCAAAGCAGGCCUUUGCUCGAAUACAUUAGCAUGGAAUAAUAGAAUAGGACGUGUGGUUCUAUUUUGUUGGUUUCUAGGACCGCCGUAAUGAUUAAUAGGGAUAGUCGGGGGCGUCAGUAUUCAGCUGUCAGAGGUGAAAUUCUUGGAUUUGCUGAAGACUAACUACUGCGAAAGCAUUCGCCAAGGAUGUUUUCAUUAAUCAGGGAACGAAAGUUAGGGGAUCGAAGACGAUCAGAUACCGUCGUAGUCUUAACCAUAAACUAUGCCGACUAGGGAUCGGACGGGAUUCUAUGAUGACCCGUUCGGCACCUUACGAGAAAUCAAAGUUUUUGGGUUCUGGGGGGAGUAUGGUCGCAAGGCUGAAACUUAAAGAAAUUGACGGAAGGGCACCACAAGGCGUGGAGCCUGCGGCUUAAUUUGACUCAACACGGGGAAACUCACCAGGUCCAGACAAAAUAAGGAUUGACAGAUUGAGAGCUCUUUCUUGAUCUUUUGGAUGGUGGUGCAUGGCCGUUCUUAGUUGGUGGAGUGAUUUGUCUGCUUAAUUGCGAUAACGAACGAGACCUCGGCUCUUAAAUAGCCCGGUCCGCAUUUGCGGCCGCUGGCUUCUUAGGGGGACUAUCGGCUCAGCCGAUGGAGUGCGCGCAUAACAGUCUGUGAUGCCCUUAGAUGUCUGGGCCGCACGCGCGCUACACUGAC
rnacentral:rRNA from 1 species